AUUGAACGCUGGCGGCAGGCCUAACACAUGCAAGUAGAGCGGAGCGGCGGACGGGUGAGUAAUGCCUAGGAAUCUGCCUGGUAGUGGGGGAUAACGUACGGAAACGGGCGCUAAUACCGCAUACUAUCAGAUGAGCCUAGGUCGGAUUAGCUAGUUGGUGGGGUAAAGGCCUACAAAGGCGACGAUCCGUAACUGGUCUGAGAGGAUGAUCAGUCACACUGGAACUGAUACACGGUCCAGACUCCUACGGGAGUCAGCAGUGGGGAAUAUUGGACAAUUGGCGAAAGCCUGAUCCAGCCAUCCCGCGUGUGCGAUGAAGGCCUUCGGGUUGUAAAGCACUUUUGGCAGUAAAGCGGUACCUGCAGAAUAAGCACCGGCUAACUACGUGCCAGCCGCCGCGGUAAUUC
rnacentral:rRNA from 1 species